rnacentral:lncRNA from 1 species
UUAAAUGAUGCGCCUCGCUUUUGCGGUACGCGCAUAUAAUGUAUAUAUGUGUGGGUUAUCGGGGGACAAAAGUGAAAGUGCACAAAUUUUAACGCUUUUACUAAUUUCGUGAAAAUAACGUUAAAAGCUGAGGACGAUUAAUCAUGCAUCAUGUGGUGACGUUGAUAGCCGAAAGACAAGGGAGUACAUGCACUAAUUGGCCUUUGUCUUAAUUGUUGAGUGUUAUGUGCCUUAUGUCCAAGGUUUGAUGCAAAACUACCAUCGAACCGGGGGUCUCAUUAAAAGCAGUCUCUCUAUUCCUACGGGGUAGAGGUAAGGCUGUCUAUAUCUUACCCUCCUCAGACCCUACAUUUACUUUGCUAUUGGUGGAAUUUAGUAAGUAUGAUGAUGAUGAUGAACGUUAUAGCAUAUGCCAACCAGUUUUAUAAUCAAAGAAUCC